AUGAACAAUAAACCUUAUAUUGCAUGUAGAAAUUUAACGGGUAUUCCAAAUGGCCGAGGAAACAGAUGCUGCAUGAUGUCAGUAAUUUUGCGGAGCACCUAUUUUGGGUACGUUUGUCUGAUCAAAAUUUUGUAUUUUGUUCUCAUCAUUUAAUUUCUUUGCUAUGUAGAGAUCGGGGGUGGAGAAUAUUGUUUGGAAGUUAGAUUUGUUACGUAAUACUUGAAAUUCUUUCUCGUCCCUCCUCUACUUUACUUCCCUCUUCAAUAUCAUGUUCACCCCUCCAUUAGGGCUCUUAAGAGGAAAAAUCAUGAGACUGCUGCCUGUCAUUCUUUGGUGGAAAGGAUGGGGUGGGGGAUGUAUUGUUGAUUCCAUUUUUCCCCAAUAUUCGGCUUCCUCAACUCAACUAACAGAUUGUUAAUUGGUUUCCUUAAAAAAAAUUUGUUAGUCCAUAUGAUCAUGGUUAUUGUCCUUGAGCUACUUCAAGUCAUUCUGACUUUGGGGUCUAAUUCCUGAUAACCUUCAUUUAACUAUUGUAGAGGUGGCAGUCCAGCGCUGAUGAUUACUACUGGCUACUGCCAUCAAUCUUCAAGCCAAGACAGUUCAUGGUUCAGACCAUAUUUUGGGGAUGACGGAUACAAAAGGGGCAAGUCAGGAAAUAGAAGAUCUGGGACAUGGAAAAGUAAGUUGGCUUAUAUAAUUAAACACCAAACACGUGUUAGUUAAUUCUCAUUUUCUCUUUUAUAUGUUUGAGAUAUCCAUAAAAGGUAUAUUUGUAAAGCUUCUUUUGAUAUUUUCAAAUAUGUUGAAUGAUGACACAGAACAUGCAGUUAAAAACUAGGGAAAUAUUAUAUGUGACAAGAUUUGAAGCAAAUUAUAUUGAGUUUAUGCUUUUAAUCCUUUUUGUUUCUCCUCUUCUGGCAUUUUUUGGAGACAGUAGUUUAUGCAAUUGACCAAGCUGAUAUAUUACACUCAUCUGAUAACUAGAUUACUGGUGCAUAUAGUUCUCUUUACUCUGACAAUCUCUUUAGUCCUUGUGAUCUGUUUUCUGCAUCUGAUGUAGUUAACAAAUUUAAUCUUUUUUCAACAGAUUUUAAUUUCUGUGAAGAUCGGAAUAUGAGACUAUUUGUCGUUCUGCAUUCUGUGGAAGUCCGUACUUUGGUUGGUCCUUCAUAACUGACGAUGACCCAAGAUAUUGGAACUGUUGGAAUGAGGAAUCGAAAAUAUCCAGAAAUUAAAAAAAAAAAAUUAAUUCAAUAAAAAAGAUCGUCUAGGUGUUCACAUGUACAUUAUAUUAAAAAUGAAGAAUUCGAUUUUUUUUUACCUAUAUUCGAUGAUCAAUUCUUGAAUUAAUUUUGAAUCACGAACUUCCAGCUUUUUAAUUUCAAUAACUUGAUGCUUCAAACCUCCAAAUCUUUUAUGGUAUUAUCCAAAAUCAAGAUCACACUGGUGGGUAGGCACCUUCUUUUAAUUAAAUUAAAAAACUAAUUCUUAAACUGGACAAUUGAAAAAAUCAAGAAAAAUAAUUUUUCUCUCUUGUUUCUGUGUCCAAAAUUUGAACACCAUGUAAUUAUAUAUUAUGAAUGUUGUAUAAUUUCAUAAGAUGUUAGAAAUAGAAAAGUUUCAAUCCUUAUGCAAUAAUAAUUCCACAUUCAAAUAAGAGUUCUAAUUAAAAUCUAAGUAAGAGUUUUAAUUAUAAUCCAAAUCCAAUUAGUUUACACUUAAUUAUAUGUGUGGUCCUAGAACUUUAAUUACAAUUAUAAUUAAAUUUACAACUUUCAUAGUAAUUACAACUAAGUAUAAAAUUUUAUUGUAAUUACAAUUAAGUCAAACUAUUAUAAUUACCAUAAUUAUGUUUCAAUACUUUAUGGAGCUACCAUAGAGACCUAAUCGGACAUAUAUUAUCCAAGUUUCAAUAAUUAGAUCUUGUCUAGUCGACCCUAGACUAUGAAUUCAUGUUCUCUACUCCACUCAUUCUCAAGUUUCCAACUCAUCGAGAUAUAUGACCAAUCAAAUUAAUCUCACUCGUUGAUGAAUCAAAGAACUAUUAAAAUCAUGAAAAAAUAUACAUAAUCCUGUCAAGGGAUUUACAUGAAAUACACAGCGGUCUAGUGAAAUUUAAUUCUCCGCACGGUCAUGCUAUAGAAUUAAAUUCGACACAUGGUUCGUUCAAUACACUCCAAGCUUACUAGUGUCAUCUUUAAUUAUUUCUGUGAUAAGAACAAAUAACAAACCUGAAUAGUGAAUCGGUCAAUACUACAACCUUCUAAUACAAGGUGCCAACCCUUAUACAUUUGUUGUGAACAAAUUACUUAUGAUCAAAAUAUAAGUUAUGUCACACUGUACUUCUCAACCCAAGUAACCAUAUUAUAUUUUUCAAGUGAUUAUAGACACUUUAAUUUGCAUGCUUAAUAAUAAAAAUGCAAUAAGUAAGUAAAACCACAACUUAUAAUUAUUUUAUCAUAGCAAAAUAUACUAUAUGGGCACACAACCCAACAGGAACAAAUCAUCAGGUUACUCUUAACAAAUAUAGAACUUCAAACAGUCGGAGAUAUCAACAUGAGGAGGAUUGGAGGAAUAUGAUUCAUAAUAUGACGAGGACUUUGAUUCAAAUUCGGAGUUUGAGAAGUCAGAGGUUGAUAUGAUGUCUCAGAGGUUAUCCUCGAGAUUGAGUACCUCAGGCCCUUUAAAUCUCGAAGAUGUCAAAAAUGCGUAAGAUCUCCAGAGUUUCCUUUAUUUUAAAUUUCUGUUCACUUGGGGUUUGAGAGAAUAGAGUUCUCUUUAAUUUAUUAGGCUGACAAAUGAUAAAUUUUCAUUUCCAGAUAUCGGGCAUGUGCAUUAAAAUGGCAUCCAGAUCGCCACCAGGGUUCUUCCAAUUUAUUUCCUUUAGUUUCCCUUUUCUCAGCACCGAGGACCUGUUGUCUUAGGCUUCUUUUGUUGAGAAUGCCUUUUUCUAUUUAUAAUUUGUUGUGACUAGAAAGUUUGGUAGUAAUAGCAUUGUACUUGAAAAAAAAAGGUUUUCUUGUCAUUUGAUCGAGAUUAGUAACUUUCUUGCUCUACAGUUUCAGCAACAAGCUUCUUUCUCUAAAGUUAUUUUAGUAGGGUCGAGCUUAUAAGUUGUACAUUCGCGAACAUGAUAUUUUUCACAUGCAACCUCUAUUUGUUGCAAUAACAAGAUGCUGCCUUGGACAGGUUGUUGCUGAAGAGAAAUUUAAGGUUUGCAGUGCAGCAAAUCAAUCUUUAUGCGGCUAGUUGGCUCUAAAUUAGAACACACUGAUGAUCAACUGUAUCUGGUGAAUAUCUUUUAGUACAAGACUUGUUAGAUUACAUGUACACCAUUUGAAGUAGCUCUGUGUACUAUUACUAGUUUUAUUUGUUUUCAAGAUCAAUAGCUAUGGUAGUUUGUAGUUGUGCAG
rnacentral:lncRNA from 1 species